rnacentral:hammerhead_ribozyme from 1 species
AUCCAGCUGACAAGUCCGAAAUAGGACGAAACGCGCAUCCUGGAU